rnacentral:rRNA from 1 species
GACGAACGCUGGCGGCGUGCUUAACACAUGCAAGUCGAACGGAAAGGCCCUGCUUUUGUGGGGUGCUCGAGUGGCGAGCGGGUGAGUAACACGUGAGUAACCUGCUCUUGACUUUGGGAUAACUUCAGGAAACUGGGGCUAAUACCGGAUAGGAGCUCCUGCUGCAUGGUGGGGGUUGGAAAGUUUCGGCGGUUGGGGAUGGACUCGCGGCUUAUCAGCUUGUUGGUGGGGUAGUGGCUUACCAAGGCUUUGACGGGUAGCCGGCCUGAGAGGGUGACCGGCCACAUUGGGACUGAGAUACGGCCCAGACUCCUACGGGAGGCAGCAGUGGGGAAUAUUGCACAAUGGGCGGAAGCCUGAUGCAGCAACGCCGCGUGCGGGAUGACGGCCUUCGGGUUGUAAACCGCUUUCGCCUGUGACGAAGCGUGAGUGACGGUAAUGGGUAAAGAAGCACCGGCUAACUACGUG